AUGCGCAACGGCUCACCGUUGGAUUCCAUGCGAGAAGCCGUGUUGACGGUGUCGCCGAACAAGCAGUAGCGCGGCAUCGUCAGCCCCACCACGCCCGCCACCACCGCACCUGCACAACCAUAUGGUGGGCAGCGGGAACUCGAAGGGCGGCAUGCUGUUGUAGUCGCGCACGCGGCUGGUGAAGUACUCGUAGCUGCCCUCGGGCUCCGACGACACCACCACCAGCAGCGACUGCGCGCGGCGCCGGAACUCCGCGGAGUUGGGGCACACCAGCUUCGACGCGCGGUCCUCCGUCUCUGUGGAGACACACGCCACGUCACCAUUACGCCUUCUUUCUUUUUUGAGCCUAAUUUUUUGGGAUCGCUAAGGUUUCGCAACUGGACGUACAGCCACUACUUUGGCAAAGAUAUAGAGUAUAAAUAAAAUUUGACAUCUGA